rnacentral:misc_RNA from 1 species
CCGAGUUUACAACUCCCAAACCCCUGUGAACAUACCUAUACGUUGCCUCGGCGGAUCAGCCCGCGCCCCGUAAAAAGGGGCGGCCCGCCCGAGGACCCCUAAACUCUGUUUUUAGUGGAACUUCUGAGUAAAACAAACAAAUAAAUCA